UACGGGGGGAGCAAGCGUUGUUCGGAUUUACUGGGCGUAAAGGGCGCGUAGGCGGCCAGCACAAGUCAGUUGUGAAAUCUCCGAGCUUAACUCGGAAAGGUCAACUGAUACUGUGCGGCUAGAGUGCGGAAGGGGCAACUGGAAUUCUUGGUGUAGCGGUGAAAUGCGUAGAUAUCAAGAGGAACACCUGCGGCGAAGGCGGGUUGCUGGGCCGACACUGACGCUGAGGCACGAAAGCCAGGGGAGCGAACGGG
rnacentral:rRNA from 1 species